AUGGCAUGGGCUAUGUUUUUUUUUAUUUGGGCUGGAUCGUUCAAUGAAGAAGGAACCCGACUGCAGCCCACGUACCAAAGCUUGGCCAGGACGGCCCAAGUUCAAACAGUGAAUGGGAGGAAAGAAAUCGAGUCGGGCCUUCCAGCGUGCGUGGAGCGAUUGGAGAUAGACACAGAAAGACUUGCGGUUAGCAUUUUCCAAGAGAUGGACAGCGCGGAGAUGAAGAUGGUUAUCCUGGGGCAAGAACAAACAUUCAGACAACAGGUUCAUGAGAUGCACCGAGUUUACCAUGCUCAGAAACAGUUGACGAGGGAGAUGCAGAUAGCUGGGCUAACGAAACCUAAACUCGAGGUCUGGCGCGAGGACAAGGCCACCAACCAGGAGACAGGCGGCACCGCGCCGUCAUGGAGAUCGUCGGCGGACAGGGUGCCGGUCCAGAUGGUGUUCCAUCCGACGGUGGAGUUGCCGGUUCUGCGCACUGAAUGGCACGGGGGUCCGACUUAUGGAUAUGAUACGGUGAAAUUCAGUGUGGAGGUGCAUCAUGGUGGGUUUUUUGCGGGAAAAGGAGUGAAUCUGACAUAUUUGGAUGAAAAGAUAACAUGGUUUGACAACUUGGACAGGAAUACACUAUGUACUGAUGUGAUCUGCUAUAUGCUAGCACAACUUAAUUAUCCUGAUGAGGAGAAAAUUAUGCUAUGGUGCCCACCUGGUAAAACUCUUGCAUAUGUGGUGGAAAUUAACUUGGGAAAUGACUGUUUAAAGAUGGCUAGAGCAUCUGUGUACUCCAAGCAACAAGCAGAUGCAGAUGGGUCAGAGGGCCAAGAAAAAUCAGAUGUGUCAGAGAAUUCAGAAGUUUCAGAAGAAGAGUACGAUUGUGAUUCAGACAUUGAUCCUACUUGGUACGACAGUGAUUAUGGAAUGGAGGAGGAUGAUGAUAAGGACUAUGAUAAGAAUGUAGAUGAUGUUGUGCAUGAUGCUAUGGUUGAGAAGGGCAAAAACAUAGGAGCUGAAUAUAGGCAUGUUCCUGGGUCAGAUGAUGUUCAUGAGGAUGAUCUGCAACUGCCAGAAGAGGAUGACUUGGAGAAAAGACAUAAAAGUGACUCCGAUGAUGAGGAGUACAAGGCAAAGAAAAAGAAGGAGAAACCUAUAUAUAGGUUUAGAACAUUUAACCCUGCCGUUGACAUGGAAAACCCUCAGUUCAAGCUAGGAAUGGUAUUUGAUUCAGUGGAUCUACUUAGGAAAGUUGUAGCACAAUAUGCAGUAAAGAACAGGGUGCAAAUUAAGAAGAAAAGAAAUAACAAGCAAAGGUUUGAGGCUGUGUGUUCUGAGGGUUGCCCUUGGAAGCUUGUGGCUGUCAAUGACAACAGGACACAGUCCUUCCUUGUAAAGACUUAUGUUGGAGAGCAUACAUGUGAAAAAGUUUGGGAUGUGAAGGAACUAACAGCCCCUUUUCUUGCCAAUAAAUAUGUAGAGAAGUUCAGAGACAAUGACAAGAUUUCACUGUCUACCUUUUCAAGAAAAGUCAGGAAGAAAUUCAACAUGGAAGUUAGCAGGCACAAGCUAGGGAGAGCUAGGAAAGCAACAUUGGAAGUUGUGCGUGGGGAUGAGGUGAAGCAGUACUCAUUGCUUUGGAGAUAUGCAGAGGAAUAUGGUGGCCAAUUACUCACUGCAGUUGGUAUUGAUGGCAAUGACUCAAUUUAUCCUAUUGCAAUGGCAGUGGUGGAGACAGAAUGUUAUGCAUCUUGGAACUGGUUCCUUUGUACACUGAAGCAAGACCUCAACAUAAUUAACACAAGCACAAUCACUAUCAUGAGUGACAAACAGAAGAUAUAUCCAACUAGAGAUAAAGAUGAGUGGGCUGCUGUAUCUGCAACACCUAUUUUACCACCACUAUAUGAGAGAAGAGCUGGAAGGAGAAGGAAGAACAGAAGGCAGCAACCUGAGGAGAGUGAAGAUGACACCAAACUAAGCAGGCAUGGUGCUAUUAUGCAUUGUGGUUACUGCAAAGAAGCUGGUCAUAACAGAAGUGGCUGCUCAAAGUUGAAAGCUGCUGUAAUAAGAGAAGUGGGUGGGGAUGAUGAGGAACAAGCUGAGCAAGUUCCAGAGCAAACUGAGCAUGUUCCAGAGCAGCCUAAGCAAGUUCCAGAGCAGCCUGAGCAAGUUCCAGAGCCAAAUGAUCUAGUUAGAUCAAAAAGUUCUAGAGGAAGGAAGAGAAAGCCCACUGACAAAAUGAAUGAACUAGUACAGCAGCUGAUGGAAAAGGCAAAGAAAAAGAAGUCCAAAAUGGUUAUUGAUGAGAAUGGAGAUGUUGACUUUCCAGUAAUAUUAACUCAUAUUCAACAUAGAACUAUGAGGCCACAUUUGGACCCAACACAAGUACAAGACAGCAUGCACAAGGAGUACCUGUUUCUAGGAUGCACCGAAUUCCAGAUGAAAGUGCAUUUGUUACUGAGCUUAGGGCCAACAUUCCAAAUGAACCAGCACACACAACACAAAGAGCAAGAGGAGCAAGAGGGGCAAGAGGAAGAAGAGAAGCAAGAGGAGCAAGAGGCGGGUCAGUGGCAGCAGGAAGAGGACCAGCACAUGGACAUGAACCAGACCAACCAAGAAGAAGAGGAAGAACAAAUUCUACAAGAGGGAAAAGGAAAAGAAAAACUAGGGGAAUGGAGUGGCUCUUACUUGGGGAAGGAACAAGUAGAACUGGACAUGUGUAAGAGGAAGCCCAAGAUGAGUUCCAGUGUUAUGUACUGGUCUUUUGGUGGAUACGAAACUCUGCUGAAUUACUACUUAAACUGUGGCUGA
rnacentral:rRNA from 1 species